GGGUUGUGAGGUUAAGCGACUAAGCGUACACGGUGGAUGCCCUGGCAGUCAGAGGCGAUGAAGGACGUGCUAAUCUGCGAUAAGCGCCGGUAAGGUGAUAUGAACCGUUAUAACCGGCGAUUUCCGAAUGGGGAAACCCAGUGUGAUUCGUCACACUAUCAUUAACUGAAUCCAUAGGUUAAUGAGGCGAACCGGGGGAACUGAAACAUCUAAGUACCCCGAGGAAAAGAAAUCAACCGAGAUUCCCCCAGUAGCGGCGAGCGAACGGGGAGGAGCCCAGAGCCUGAAUCAGCAUGUGUGUUAGUGGAAGCGUCUGGAAAGGCGCGCGAUACAGGGUGACAGCCCCGUACACAAAAGCGCAUGUGCUGUGAGCUCGAUGAGUAGGGCGGGACACGUGGUAUCCUGUCUGAAUAUGGGGGGACCAUCCUCCAAGGCUAAAUACUCCUGACUGACCGAUAGUGAACCAGUACCGUGAGGGAAAGGCGAAAAGAACCCCGGCGAGGGGAGUGAAAAAGAACCUGAAACCGUGUACGUACAAGCAGUGGGAGCACAGGUUUACCUGUGUGACUGCGUACCUUUUGUAUAAUGGGUCAGCGACUUAUAUUCUGUAGCAAGGUUAACCGAAUAGGGGAGCCGGAGGGAAACCGAGUCUUAAUUGGGCGUUAAGUUGCAGGGUAUAGACCCGAAACCCGGUGAUCUAGCCAUGGGCAGGUUGAAGGUUGGGUAACACUAACUGGAGGACCGAACCGACUAAUGUUGAAAAAUUAGCGGAUGACCUGUGGCUGGGGGUGAAAGGCCAAUCAAACCGGGAGAUAGCUGGUUCUCCCCGAAAGCUAUUUAGGUAGCGCCUCGUGAAUUCAUCUCCGGGGGUAGAGCACUGUUUCGGCUAGGGGGCCAUCCCGGCUUACCAACCCGAUGCAAACUGCGAAUACCGGAGAAUGUUAUCACGGGAGACACACGGCGGGUGCUAACGUCCGUCGUGAAGAGGGAAACAACCCAGACCGCCAGCUAAGGUCCCAAAGUCAUGGUUAAGUGGGAAACGAUGUGGGAAGGCCCAGACAGCCAGGAUGUUGGCUUAGAAGCAGCCAUCAUUUAAAGAAAGCGUAAUAGCUCACUGGUCGAGUCGGCCUGCGCGGAAGAUGUAACGGGGCUAAACCAUGCACCGAAGCUGCGGCAGCGAACGUAUCACCCAAGACAACUUUACGGAGUUGACGAUUGACGGAGCGAAGCGACGUCAAAGCGUUCAUUAAAGUCGAGUUGGCUUAGGGAUACGUUCGUUGGGUAGGGGAGCGUUCUGUAAGCCUGUGAAGGUGUGUCGUGAGGCAUGCUGGAGGUAUCAGAAGUGCGAAUGCUGACAUAAGUAACGAUAAAGCGGGUGAAAAGCCCGCUCGCCGGAAGACCAAGGGUUCCUGUCCAACGUUAAUCGGGGCAGGGUGAGUCGACCCCUAAGGCGAGGCCGAAAGGCGUAGUCGAUGGGAAACGGGUUAAUAUUCCCGUACUUGGUGUUACUGCGAAGGGGGGACGGAGAAGGCUAUGUUGGCCGGGCGACGGUUGUCCCGGUUUAAGCGUGUAGGUGUGUGUUCCAGGUAAAUCCGGUUCACUUUAACACUGAGGCGUGACGACGAGGCACUACGGUGCUGAAGCAACAAAUGCCCUGCUUCCAGGAAAAGCCUCUAAGCAUCAGGUAACACGAAAUCGUACCCCAAACCGACACAGGUGGUCAGGUAGAGAAUACCAAGGCGCUUGAGAGAACUCGGGUGAAGGAACUAGGCAAAAUGGUGCCGUAACUUCGGGAGAAGGCACGCUGACACGUAGGUGAAGUGAUUUACUCAUGGAGCUGAAGUCAGUCGAAGAUACCAGCUGGCUGCAACUGUUUAUUAAAAACACAGCACUGUGCAAACACGAAAGUGGACGUAUACGGUGUGACGCCUGCCCGGUGCCGGAAGGUUAAUUGAUGGGGUCAGCGCAAGCGAAGCUCCUGAUCGAAGCCCCGGUAAACGGCGGCCGUAACUAUAACGGUCCUAAGGUAGCGAAAUUCCUUGUCGGGUAAGUUCCGACCUGCACGAAUGGCGUAAUGAUGGCCAGGCUGUCUCCACCCGAGACUCAGUGAAAUUGAACUCGCUGUGAAGAUGCAGUGUACCCGCGGCAAGACGGAAAGACCCCGUGAACCUUUACUAUAGCUUGACACUGAACAUUGAGCCUUGAUGUGUAGGAUAGGUGGGAGGCUUUGAAGUGUGGACGCCAGUCUGCAUGGAGCCGACCUUGAAAUACCACCCUUUAAUGUUUGAUGUUCUAACGUGGACCCGUAAUCCGGGUUGCGGACAGUGUCUGGUGGGUAGUUUGACUGGGGCGGUCUCCUCCUAAAGAGUAACGGAGGAGCACGAAGGUUGGCUAAUCCUGGUCGGACAUCAGGAGGUUAGUGCAAUGGCAUAAGCCAGCUUGACUGCGAGCGUGACGGCGCGAGCAGGUGCGAAAGCAGGUCAUAGUGAUCCGGUGGUUCUGAAUGGAAGGGCCAUCGCUCAACGGAUAAAAGGUACUCCGGGGAUAACAGGCUGAUACCGCCCAAGAGUUCAUAUCGACGGCGGUGUUUGGCACCUCGAUGUCGGCUCAUCACAUCCUGGGGCUGAAGUAGGUCCCAAGGGUAUGGCUGUUCGCCAUUUAAAGUGGUACGCGAGCUGGGUUUAGAACGUCGUGAGACAGUUCGGUCCCUAUCUGCCGUGGGCGCUGGAGAACUGAGGGGGGCUGCUCCUAGUACGAGAGGACCGGAGUGGACGCAUCACUGGUGUUCGGGUUGUCAUGCCAAUGGCACUGCCCGGUAGCUAAAUGCGGAAGAGAUAAGUGCUGAAAGCAUCUAAGCACGAAACUUGCCCCGAGAUGAGUUCUCCCUGAGACUUAGAGUCUCCUGAAGGAACGUUGAAGACGACGACGUUGAUAGGCCGGGUGUGUAAGCGCAGCGAUGCGUUGAGCUAACCGGUACUAAUGAACCGUGAGGCUUAACCUUACAACGCCGAAG
rnacentral:rRNA from 6 species